rnacentral:rRNA from 1 species
GCGGAGGGAUCAUUACCGAGUUUACAACUCCCAAACCCAAUGUGAACGUUACCAAACUGUUGCCUCGGCGGGAUCUCUGCCCCGGGUGCGUCGCAGCCCCGGACCAAGGCGCCCGCCGGAGGACCAACCAAAACUCUUUUUGUAUACCCCCUCGCGGGUUUUUUAUAAUCUGAGCCUUCUCGGCGCCUCUCGUAGGCGUUUCGAAAAUGAAUCAAAACUUUCAACAACGGAUCUCUUGGUUCUGGCAUCGAUGAAGAACGCAGCGAAAUGCGAUAAGUAAUGUGAAUUGCAGAAUUCAGUGAAUCAUCGAAUCUUUGAACGCACAUUGCGCCCGCCAGUAUUCUGGCGGGCAUGCCUGUCCGAGCGUCAUUUCAACCCUCGAACCCCUCCGGGGGGUCGGCGUUGGGGAUCGGCCCUGCCUUUGGCGGUGGCCGUCUCCGAAAUACAGUGGCGGUCUCGCCGCAGCCUCUCCUGCGCAGUAGUUUGCACACUCGCAUCGGGAGCGCGGCGCGUCCACAGCCGUUAAACACCCAACUUCUGAAAUGUUGACCUCGGAUCAGGUAGGAAUACCCGCUGAACUUAAGCAUAUC